rnacentral:tRNA from 1 species
AGAAAGAUAAGCUAAAAAAGCUAUUAGGUUCAUACCCUAAAUAUAGAAUAAAAAUUCUUUUUUCUA